rnacentral:rRNA from 1 species
UACGUAGGGUGCGAGCGUUAAUCGGAAUUACUGGGCGUAAAGCGUGCGCAGGCGGCGCGUUAAGACAGGUGUGAAAGCCCCGAGCUUAACUUGGGAAUUGCGCUUGUGACUGGCGUGCUGGAGUGUGGCAGAGGGAGGUGGAAUUCCACGUGUAGCAGUGAAAUGCGUAGAGAUGUGGAGGAACACCGAUGGCGAAGGCAGCCUCCUGGGUCAAGAUUGACGCUCAUGCACGAAAGCGUGGGAGCAAACAGG